CCUCACUCCCACUGUGCCAUAACUAUGUCAACAAAUCAUGGUCCCUUUUGCUAAGCUCUAUGUGCAAAUCGCCCCUCUGCCCCCUUCGCUUAACUUAAUUGUAAGGGGCUUCAUCGCCCCCAACGCGUUCAAAGGAUCACGGGCCCUACACGGAUUGACCAUGCCUCCACAGCCAAAGAUCCUGUCGAAGGACUCUAGAGCUAGUGUGUGGUCGGAAUAGGUGCUUGGAGUUCGUCGGUCCCAAAGUCUGCACCAGUAACGCUAGCUUGGUGUGCAGUGACCGGUGGUGGUCGCAGUUGUAAAUGAGAACUUGUUCUCAACUUGCCUACCUGGUUAAAUAAAGGCCCUCACAGUCAACACCACCGCAUAAGAUGAAGAAGUACAUUGCUUAUGAGGAUUGCCUUCUGCAGUUGUUUGAGAGAUGUCCUGUUUGCAGCCGAACGUGCAACAUAGAGAAGACCAACAACGGGACCCUCUGCAUUUUAGUUGUUCAGUUUGUGUCAUUCUUUAGUUUUUUAUCAUAUGUUUGUUGUGUAGUAAAUACUUCAGCUUUUAUUUUCAUUGUUUUUUUUCUAGUUUUUUUGUUGUUGUAAAACGCAUUGCAUUCCAUGUCUAAAAUGUGCUGUAUAAAUAAAGUUUGAUUUGAUCACGCA